CAAUAGCGUAUAUUAAAGUUGUUGCAGUUAAAAAGCUCGUAGUUGGAUUUCUGGUGGGAGCGAUCGGUCUGGCGCUUAGCGCGAGUACUUGCAUCGUCUCCGGCCAUCCUUGGGGAGAGUCUGUCUGGCAUUAAGUUGUCGGGCAGAGGAUCCUCAUCGUUUACUGUGAAAAAAUUAGAGUGUUCAAAGCAGGCUUAUGCCGUUGAAUAUAUUAGCAUGGAAUAAUAAGAUAGGACUUUGGUACUAUUUUGUUGGUUUGCGCACCAAAGUAAUGAUUAAUAGGGACAGUUGGGGGUAUUCGUAUUCCGUUGUCAGAGGUGAAAUUCUUGGAUUUACGGAAGACAAACUGCUGCGAAAGCGUCUGCCAAGGAUGUUUUCAUUGA
rnacentral:rRNA from 1 species